UACGAAGGGGGCUAGCGUUGUUCGGAAUUACUGGGCGUAAAGGGCGCGUAGGCGGCCUUCUAAGUCAGACGUGAAAUCCCCAGGCUUAACCUGGGAACUGCGUCGGAUACUGGAUGGCUUGAAUCGGGAGAGGGAUGCGGAAUUCCAGGUGUAGCGGUGAAAUGCGUAGAUAUCUGGAGGAACACCGGUGGCGAAGGCGGCGUCCUGGACCAACACUGACACUGAGGAGCGAAAGCCAGGGGAGCAAACGGG
rnacentral:rRNA from 1 species